rnacentral:tRNA from 2 species
AAGAAAUUAGUUUAAUAUAAAACAUUAUUUUGUCAAGAUAAAAUUAUCGAUAGAUAUUUCUUA